rnacentral:rRNA from 1 species
AGCAGUCGCCGCGGUAAUACGGAGGGAGCUAGCGUUGUUCGGAAUCACUGGGCGUAAAGCGCACGUAGGCGGCUAUUCAAGUCAGGGGUGAAAGCCCGGGGCUCAACCCCGGAACUGCCUUUGAAACUAGAUAGCUUGAAUCUUGGAGAGGCGAGUGGAAUUCCGAGUGUAGAGGUGAAAUUCGUAGAUAUUCGGAAGAACACCAGUGGCGAAGGCGACUCGCUGGACAAGUAUUGACGCUGAGGUGCGAAAGCGUGGGGAGCAAACAGGAUUAGAUACCCGGGUAGUCCCUGUCUCUUAUAC